rnacentral:rRNA from 1 species
UACGUAGGGUCCGAGCGUUGUCCGGAAUUAUUGGGCGUAAAGAGCUCGUAGGCGGCUCGUCGCGUCGACCGUGAAAACCCGCAGCUUAACUGCGGGCUUGCGGUUGAUACGGGCGGGCUAGAGUUCGGUAGGGGAGACUGGAAUUCCUGGUGUAGCGGUGAAAUGCGCAGAUAUCAGGAGGAACACCGGUGGCGAAGGCGGGUCUCUGGGCCACUACUGACGCUGAGAAGCGAAAGCAUGGGGAGCGAACAGG